AGGGUUUGAUCCUGGCUCAGGAUAAACGCUGGCGGCGUGCUUCAGGCAUGCAAGUCGAACGGACCUUCGGGUCAGUGGCGGACGGGUGAGUAACACGUAAGCAACCUGCCCAGAAGUGGGGAAUAACCCACCGAAAGGUGAGCUAAUACCGCAUGUGAUGUGUCUUCCCUGGAGGACUCAUUAAAGGCUUCGGUCGCUUCUGGAGGGGCUUGCGUUCGAUUAGCUAGUUGGUGGGGUAAUGGCCUACCAAGGCUGCGAUCGAUAGCUGGUCUGAGAGGACGGACAGCCACACGGGGACUGAGAUACGGCCCCGACUCCUACGGGAGGCAGCAGCUAGGAAUCUUGGGAAUGGGCGAAAGCCUGACCCAGCAACGCCGCGUGGGCGAUGAAGGCCUUCGGGUCGUAAAGCCCUUUUGAGGGGGACGAUGAUGACGGUACCCCUCGAAUAAGCCACGGCUAACUACGUGCCAGCAGCCGCGGUAAUACGUAGGUGGCAAGCGUUGUCCGGAUUUACUGGGCGUAAAGGGCGUGCAGGCGGUUUGUUUAGUCUAGGGUGAAAGCUCCCGGCUUAACUGGGAGAGGUCCUUGGAUACUGGCAAACUUGAGGGAGGCAGAGGAAAGUGGAAUUCCCGGUGUAGUGGUGAUAUGCGUAGAUAUCGGGAGGAACACCAGUGGCGAAGGCGGCUUUCUGGGCCUUACCUGACGCUGAGACGCGAAAGCGUGGGGAGCGAACCGGAUUAGAUACCCGGGUAGUCCACGCCGUAACUAUGGACACUAGGUGUGGGGGGUAUCGACCCCCUCCGUGCCGCAGCUAACGCAAUAAGUGUCCCGCCUGGGGAGUACGGCCGCAAGGCUAAAACUCAAAGGAAUUGACGGGGGCCCGCACAAGCAGCG
rnacentral:rRNA from 1 species